CGCGGCGGGAGGGGAGGGGCGGGGCGCGGAGGCAGAGCAGUUUCCGGGAGCGGUGGGUCCUGGGCGCUGGCAGCUCCCGAUGCGCGGAUCCCCGCUGGACAGGGUGAAGGCGCAGGCGACCUAGAGAGUCAGGGACUUUCUGCAGCUCUUUGCUGGUGGGUCUGGUCCUUCCGCCAGGAUCCCAGGAUGAAGACAAUGUGUGAGAGCUACAGCUGGCCUGGGGUCAACGUGUAAUGUGAGAAAUUAGUGAUGCAAGCCACCAAGAUUUGGGGGUGGUUUCUUAUUACAGCAAAAUGUAAUGAAAGCUGGCAGAUAGAAAAAUCAGCUCCGAGGUGAUGAGUGGAAGCAGAGACCUAAAUGAAGUGAGCUCCGCAAAUGACGGGGGUGUUUCAGGCACAGCAAAGAGCAAGUGCAAAGGCCCUGAGGCGGAAACCUGUGUGAUGACUGAGGACCAGCAAAGGGGCCAGCAUGGCUACAAUAGAAAGAGCGAUGGAGAGUGCAAGGAAUAGUUGGAGGAGAUAUGAAGGGGCCAAACAUUCCUGGGCCUCCUAGGCCGUGGAGAGAUGUUUAUGUUUCAUGGAGAUGACGAGACCUGAGAGAGUUUCGUGCUGAGGGUGUGCUUGGACUUGUGUUUUAAUAGGAUCCCUCCGUGGGGAACAGACUGGGGGUGGGGAGGGGGAGGGUUGACGUCAGCUGGGAAGCCACUGCCAUGGUCUCUGGUGUCAGAGGGAGGCUCAUUUCAGGGUGGUGGUGGGGGGGGGCGAGGGUGAGAGGUGGUUGGAUUCCACUGUGCUUUGAUGGGGGAGACCCAGGACGUUGCUUACAGCCUGGGGGUGGGGUAUGGAGUUGCCUCUUUCUCACCCAGGACCUCAGGCUCUGGCCCUCCGGAAGAGGGUGGUCCCUUUGAGGGAUGUGGGGGUGACAGGGCAGCAGCAGCAGGUGUGGAAGGAAGAGCAAGUUUGGUUUGGGACACGACAUCCGCUUGUUUCUCUGUGUCUCCCAGGCACAGGUCUAAACUGUUCAAGGGUCGGGCCGGUUCUAGGCACUGGUCUUCACGCGAUGGCUGACGUAUCUACUGAAAGAAAAAUAAGCGAGUGAAUAUCUCCAAUGGACCUGUUGAAGUUCCUCGGAGUCCGGCCAUGGGUUUCCACCUUCUGGAUGCAACUUCCUUACUCUUCCAUCCCAAUGUAGAAGAAUAAACAGUGGCAUUGUUCUGUCUCUU